rnacentral:rRNA from 1 species
CACGUAGGGGGCAAGCGUUGUCCGGAUUUAUUGGGCGUAAAGAGCUCGUAGGCGGCUCAGUAAGUCAGGUGUGAAACCUCCAGGCUCAACCUGGAGACGCCACCUGAUACUGCUGUGGCUAGAGUCCGGUAGGGGAGCGUGGAAUUCCUGGUGUAGCGGUGAAAUGCGCAGAUAUCAGGAGGAACACCAGCGGCGAAGGCGAGUCCCUGGACGAAAACCUGACACCUGAGGCACGAAAGCCAAGGGAGCAAACAGG